rnacentral:lncRNA from 1 species
UAUUGCCAAAAAAAAAAAUAAAUAAAAUUAAGUUAGAAGCACUUAAAAGAAUUUCAAGUUUAAAAAGCAAGUAAAAGACUGUUUAUUGCAAGUUGCUUGGAGUUUGUAAUACACGUAACAAAAACAGGAUAGAUUUUGCACUGUCUGAUAUUGGAAGAGUGUAGUAAAAUAUAUGUAUGUGUAUAGAAUGGUUUUCAUUGAAGUGAUAGACAAAUAAUUGACCAAAUUUCAAGAUCUCAAUCAAAUUGUCUUUAUAUUGACAUUAACAUCUUUUGGUUCAUACAGAAAUCUAAAAAGAUGAUCUUUUCCUUCCUACCUUAUGAGUCACGUGUUUUAUUACGGAAGUAGAUAUGAAUAUUGGGAUAACCAUGGUUAUUUCCAUCCUUUAAGCUCUUUGCUUUGGGUUUCACACACCUGACAGAGAAAAUGAGAGGGGACAAUUCAAGCAGGUGGCUCAUGUUAACCAUUAAUCUUUCCUGAGUAAGAAGCGGGAGGGUCUUGGGCUCUUAAAAAGCAACAUAGGCCUUAGUUUAGAACAUUCAUGAGAAGCAGGAGAGAAGGAAAAAGAUGAAGGUGGUGUAUUUUAAAGAAAAAGCUGUACUUGGUAAAAAGCAAAACCAACCAACCAAAAAGAUUAAUAUUAUGGGGCAGAAGUCCAGCUUAACAAGAGCUAUGUGUAGUCUGAGUUUUUUCUUCAUAGAAGGUAACACUUCAAUUCAUCAGACUAGUUUGUUUUGUGCUGUUUUCCUGAAUUCUUCUGUAUGGUGUGAGUUCUUGAAGAUGUUCUUUGUUCAUCUCGAACAGGUUUGUACAAGAUUUGGUGAAAGAAAACAUCUUACACUGUUAAAGGUUUGCAGUCACAAGCGAGGUUAUUAUUCCCCUGGUUUCCUCUACCAAAACUCAGCAGCAUCCAUCUCUAUGAAACAUACUUGAGGGUCUCCGAGCUUCUGCCAGCUGUGUUACCUUUGGAACCAAAAACUAAACUGUAUUUCAUCAGUGCUACGGAGCUCCAAUGAGAGGAUGUGCCAGCACAUUCAGAGGAAGAUAAGAGAGCUCUGUCCAUGCUCCAUCACAGUGAGCAUUUCCUUAGCCCUAGUGAUGAAUCAUAAUGGAAUCUGCUAAGUAGAAUUCUUAAGUUAAACUUUUUCUUUUCUACUGUAUUUGUCAUUUCAAUGAAGGGGGCUCCUUUUGUGGUGUUUGUUUGGUUUUUUUUUAAUGUGGUUUUAUUUUUCCCAGAAGCCCCAAAGAUGGCAAAAAUCAGUAGCAAAUAGGAGUCUCGCAUUCUGGUCUUCUAGAAAAUAUAAACCCAAAUUUAGAUUUUAUUUUUCCAUCUUCAUUUUCUUGGUUCAAACAACAGUUAUCUAAAGAGAACAUAACAUUUUGCACACAUCAGUUACUGACACCAAUUACUUUUAUCUUUUGCUUUCUCCAGGAGGCAAACAAGCCUUGUUAUCUUCAUUGAAUAGGAAGGAGCUUCAGGCAGGGGGAAGGGGUCGCCUUCAAAAAUCCUGUAGGCACCUCUCUGCAUCCUAGGGCUAUCUCUUAACCAUACAGCGUCUGAGUCAUGGACAAUGAAUUCUGGCCCCAUCUUUCGGUGUUGUCUUUAAUCACAAACCAUUCUUCUAACUUUAUUUCCCUGUAUGAAAAAAACUUUUUUUUUUUCCACUUUACUGUGAGGAGGGGUUGAAAAAGGGAAGAUAAACGGUUUCUAGAAUCAAAUUCUAAUCUUUUUAAACACUUGUGUUGUUAUGCCAGCAAACUCGCAUCCUCUGCAGGCAAUAUAGCUCCAGAUGCUUCCUUUUCUUGAUGUUAUAAUAGAGGUCUUCCUGAAAAGUGUUUAGUUUUCAGAGCAUCUGAUUUGUUUUCUUUCUUUUUGCUUCUGCAGAACUAAUUUACGGGUUCAAUAUUAAAAUAAAUGUCAUUAAGUCAUAGUGAACA